rnacentral:rRNA from 1 species
CCCUUAGAUGAUUUGGGCUGCACGCGCGCUACACUGACCCUAACAAUGAGCAACUGUCUGGCCUGAGAUGGCUGGGUAGCCUUUUCAACCCAUGUCAUGAUUGGGCUAGAUUUUUGUAAGUCUUGAUCUCUAACGAGGAAUCCCUAGUAUGCAUGAAUCAUCAAUCCAUGCAGAUUAUGUCCCUGCCCUUUGUACACACCGCCCGCCGCUCCUACUGAUUGGGUGAUCCGGUGAGCUGUUCGGCCAUAGCAAUGUUUCUUGAGCAGGGCAAUGAAUGUUUCGCAAACCUUGCCACUUAGAGGAAGGAGAAGUCGUAACA